rnacentral:rRNA from 1 species
UACGGGGGGGGCAAGCGUUGUUCGGAAUUACUGGGCGUAAAGGGCGCGUAGGCGGCCACCGCAAGUCGACUGUGAAAUCUCCGGGCUUAACCCGGAACUGUCAGCUGAUACUGAUGUGCUAGAGUGCAGAAAGGGCAAUCGGAAUUCUUGGUGUAGCGGUGAAAUGCGUAGAUAUCAGGAGGAACACCGGUGGCGAAGGCGGGUCUCUGGGCCGUAACUGACGCUGAGGCGCGACAGCGUGGGGAGCAAACAGG